UCUUGACCUUGCAAGUCCAGG
rnacentral:siRNA from 1 species